AUGUAUGGGAUUAAACAGGUUUACAGGUUAUAUGUCAGGCUUGCUACGGGUCCCGGCGGCCUUAUGCCGAUCUGAAUCCUAGCGCCAGUAGCGGUCCGAUUUCCGGGUCGUUACACCAGACCUGACUUGAUCUUAUUCCAGAACUUAUUCUUCUUCGACUUCUUGGUGGUACUGCCCCCUCCUCUUACUGCCUAAACUCAG
rnacentral:lncRNA from 1 species